UUUAUUAUUAGUUCGGUUCAACAAAAGGAAGUUUGUCGAGCUUGCUCCCAAGUUUUGCAUGUGCGACUAGCUAACAGAGUUCACAUGGAAUGACGUUUCACCAAAGAGCGUUACGGUGUCGUGGAUUGAAUCCACAUCGUCGGUCCUGUGCGGUAAAUCCCCUUUCAAAAUUGUUUAUUGUGAUUCAUAUGUAGUGGGUUUGAUCUGUGAUAUGCUCUGUCUGUUUGAUUAAGUCGAGUUCUUUUUCUGGUUUUGGGUGAAAAUCAUUUCAUCGGUGUACAUUGGUAUCAAGUUAGAGU
rnacentral:lncRNA from 1 species